rnacentral:rRNA from 1 species
AUGGAGAAGGAUGACAUGGAGGAGGACGAAGCUCAAGACGUUGAAGAAGAGGAUGCAAUGAGGUUGGAAUGGCUACAAGACUUGUUUGCAGCGGCAGACAGAUAUGACCUCGAGCAGCUCAAGUUCAUAUGUGAAAAGCACUUGUCCGAGGAGGUACGCGUGAGCUCGGUGGGGUCCACUCUUGCUCUGACCGAGCGACACCAUUGUCACGGUUUGAAAGAGGCAUGUUUGAGGUUCAUCCAAGCCCAAUCCCUCUCAUGCCUGCAAAGAAUAAUGGAAACUAAUGGCUGGGAGUAUUUGACCAGGACUAAUCCCUCUGUUUUGAACGAGCUCAUUACCAAGCUUGCUUCGAACCAAAGCAAAUAG